rnacentral:tRNA from 2 species
UGACCCAUGGUGUAACGGUAGCACUACUGAUUUUGGUUCAGUCAGUUAAGGUUCGAAUCCUUAUGGGUCAACAA